rnacentral:rRNA from 1 species
UACGAAUCGUCCAAACGUUGUUCGGAUUUACUGGGUUUAAAGGGCGCGUAGGCGGUGCGCUAAGUCGGUGGUGAAAUACUUCGGCUCAACCGGAGAAUUGCCGCUGAAACUGGCGUGCUCGAGGGAGGUAGAGGUGCGUGGAACUUCCGGUGGAGCGGUGAAAUGCGUUGAUAUCGGAAGGAACACCUGUGGCGAAAGCGAUGCACUGGACCUCUUCUGACGCUGAGGCGCGAAAGCCAGGGGGAGCGAACGGGG